ensembl:lncRNA
CAAGGUUGCAACGAGGUCAUAUAAAUAGUAACUAUGCAACAGGGUCAAAGACCUGAAAUGCAACCGUCUGAACUUUGGUUCAAAGACUUUGCAGCACUUUUGUGAGAAUGAGUUUCAUAUUGAUAUCAAAGAUUAACAGGACAGCAUGACUGAGUUAUAGCAGAACAGCAACCGGCUUCAGCUUCACAUAGUAGUUCUGUUUAAUAAUUCAACAAAAUAUCACAGUGUUUCUGUUUAUGGGCUUUAACGCAAUCAGCGUUCAGAAAAAGAAGGCGGAGUAAUGAAACAUUGGACAGUCUCCUCCCCAUUCACUUUGGAAAGUCUCAUUUUUAGCCUUCUGCCUGCAUAGCACACAGAUACUCUCUCCUUUCUUCUGCCAGAGCUGGAGCAUCAAAAAAUAUGUUUGAUGCCAGGAUCUUACUGUUGCUGCUCCUGUCUGGGGCAAGAGCAUUCAUGAUCCACAACACCCAGCACAACCUGUGUCUGGAAGAUUCAGCAGAUACAGGUGAAGUCCAAUUGAAGACAUGCAACCUAGACUCUGAAUAUCAGCAGUGGAUCUGGAUCAGUCGGGACAUGCUGAUGUGUGUCGCAUCAUCUAGGUGUCUGUCAGCCCAGCACGAAGGGCCAGUGCACACCCAGGAUUGCCAUGAACCCGAGGUGGAUGCUGCUUGGUUAAUAUGGGACUGUGACCGGGACCAACUGAUCAGUAGAAAGCUAUCAAUGCUUCUGUCACACAAUGGCCAGCAUGCGAUCCUCGUACAACACAGCAAACACCCAAAGUGGAGAUCUCUGGAUCAGGGGGACAUCUGCCAGGAAAGAUUCAGACAUCGGAGAGCUUCUGACGAUUUGACGUACGAGGAUGAAGCACAAACAGGAGAGCUGACAGCUAUGACAAAGGAACAAAGAGAGUAUCUACGUUGGUUCUACCGCACAGAGGACUCAACCACAUGGACAUUUGUACUGCUGGGACUGGCCUUUGUCUGCCUUCUUGUUGGUUUUCUUCUCCUGGGAAUGGGAGCCAUGGCAAAUAAGAGCAGGAAGAAGAUAGCCGAGUACAAGGCUGCAACAUCUCUGCUUCAGAAAAAUGAAGAUCAGGAGCUGCUCAAAGAAAACAGCACACACCCAGCAUCAGACAUGCCACUGCAGGGAAACAAGCCUCACAUGUCCAACAGUGACACAAGUGAGCAGAGCAAUGCAGGAAAUAUUGUGGUCACAUGGAAAGAUGGCAACACCUCCUGCCUGUACCCAGAUCCUGCGGUGGAAGAGAAACAGGAGGAAGAGAGGAAAGAGAAAAUAACAGCUGCUGAGCUCGACUCUCCAGAUGAAGUGAAGAUUAUGAGCUGAAGAGGUCACAGUGAAUACCAGCGGCAGUGGGAGUGGCAGUGUUUGCUUUAAUAAUUGAUCAUAAUUUUCUGAUUAUUCUUAUUUUCAUGACUUCAGAGUGAAAUUUUAUGAAACCCUCAAAUGAUCAGAAAACAGUUCUCUUUUUUAUUCAUUCCUAAUAAAGCUCAUAACAGUUUACAUUACAGUUUCAAUGGGUGGUUGCGCUCAUAAAAUGUGUCCACGUGGGAACAAAAGUUGUAUAAAAAUGGUUCCCUGUAAAGGUAUUCUAUAAAAACAGUUUCUGGAUGUAAGUUCAGAUCUGCUUAUGUGUGCUUCCCCCAAUGGGCUUCGCCAUUGUUAGUUUUGGGGUGGCUAAAGGAGGCAGCUCUGCCCCUGCUGAUGGUUCAGUUUCUAGGGCUCCUCUUGUGGUGUUGAUGAUGAUUUCUGGUUUGAUGGGCUGUAAAGUUGCUUUCAAUAAGGUUCUGUCCACAGGGAGUCUGACAAAUAGACACCGAAUGUUCUAGUCUUCCUCCAUCCUGUGUUGUGAACUGAAAUGGGAAAAACUUAAUGAGAUUUGAGUACUUUUGUGUGUUGUGCUGAUGCCUCAGAUAUUAUUGCAUCACAAUAAAUCACUUGCUUUGAUCUUGAAGGCCUUUCGGACUUGUCAUUGUUCGUAUAAAUGUCUCUGAUAUGGGAAAACAUUACUUAGCGUAGAGAAAGAAUUUCCUUCAUGCUGCUCACCACAUUGGAAGAGCAAGCUUAUAAGGCAUGCAUGUCUUUUUCUCAGUGACAUAAUGGUUUGGUUUAUCCAUCAUUUCAGUGGAUAUAUGACAACAUUAAGGAG